rnacentral:tRNA from 2 species
GGGCGCUUAGAUCAGUGGUAGAUCGUCUCGUUGGCAUCGAGGAGGUCACCGGUUCAAUUCCGGUAGUGUCCA